UCCAGCACCUGCAGAGCCAGAAGGUGGUUGGUGUCUGGGUGAAUUUCCAAUGGGCAAACCAGGACCUGCCGGCAGCGAGAGGGGUGGCAGAGCGGGCGUGGACACAGCAGGUUGCCCGCGUGUGCUCGGACGCGGUGCCCAGCAUCGCCGAAGGGCUACCAGCGUCCGUGCGCAGAGAGUAGCGUCGGAGAUACCGCUGCCACGCUGGAACUCGCAGCCAGGCACAAGCUGCGCUUUGUCCGGACGGUGAAGAGGAUGCUGCCUUCCAAAAUGACUUUCCAAGCUCUGCUUCUGAGUCUGUUUUGUAUUGCGCUUGGAAAAGCAAGUAUGAUAAUACACACUGGCCACAGAAAGGUGAAGAUGGGAAGCAACGUGACUCUGAGCUGUGUCCUGACAGAGCCCAAGGAAGUUCUGCAAGUGACAUGGCAAAAGGACUCUGAAAAAACACGUGAGAAUAUAGCUACAUACAGUAACGUAAAAGGACUAAAGAUUCACAAGCCCUUUCGGGACCGAUUGAAUUUCACAAGUCUGGUUCUCAACGAGACAAACAUCACUUUCUGGGACACUAGAAUGGACGACUCAGGAUGUUACAUAUGCCUCUUCAACGCUUUCCCCAUCGGCUCCUUCUCGGGACGUACCUGCCUGAGCGUCCUUGGUCUCAAUGCAUCUGUCCAUUAUAACAUUUCCGAAGGACAUUUGACAGCCAUCUGUAAUGCUGUUGGCCUCCCAGAGCCUACCAUCAGCUGGAAUGGCUUGUUCAAUUCCACUCCAACACAGGAGAAGGUCAGGCACGCCAAUGGAAUUGUGUCCAUCACCAGUAAACUGGAGAUCUACGACACACAGAGCCUCAGGGGGCAAGAGCUGACCUGCAAAGUGAGCAACAGGAAUGAAGAAAUGGAAUUGCCCGUGAAAAUGAGAAAGGAAGAGUCAUUCUCAUUCCUUGGACUGAUGAUUACUUUGGGGAUUUUACUUGUUGUCUUCGUUCUAAUUGUGAUUGCAGUGUGGUGGAGGAAGAGGAUAUGCAAGCGGGGUCAAAGCGGGAAAAAGAAAGUUCCCCAAGCCUUCUGUGCUUGUGAAAGAUGGUGCACUGCCAAUUCUGAUACCAGCUAUCCUCUUAUCACAAGAAAGAUGCUGCAAAACUCUUCAGAUGAGGAGAAAAUGAAGCUUUCUGCCCUCAGCUGCCACACAGUUAAAAAGUCUCUCUCUCUGCAUUUUUCAGCUCACACAUCUCAGUGGCAAUUGGUGCUUCAGCAAGGGCUACAUCAUCAAAGGGCUGCUGGAAAGACACGUGAGGCUCCCCAAAUCCCAGAGGAGAGCUGCCUGCUCUCAUUCUGCACACUUCUGUUUUGAGUGAGGCACCCUCUCCCAUAAUCUGAGGUCAACCGGACUACUUUAGCACUUCUAGCUUGUUUCUGGUUCAUCUUUUGCUUUUUCUCUCACAAGCGUAGAGCUCUAAAGCUCCCAAGGAGAGAAGAGAAACCACACUGGAAGACGAACGCCUUGCGUGGGCACUGAAAGCUGUUUCUGCUCAACUUGUGUUUCCUCAUGAGAAUACCAAGGAAGCAAGGUAGUAACUGAAGCAUGAAGAAGGUGGUGGGUACCAGCACAACUGGGUGCAGACUAGUGCCCUGGCACUGGAAAAAACAUGUUUGGAGAGGCCACCUUCUAGCAUGCACGAGUUUUUCAGUAUAUGGAAUUCAUAUGUUUAAAAGGGGCCUUAAAUUCGUAUUAAAGGGGCCUCACCUUCAACAAUAACCCUUAUUCCAUGGCUCUCACUGGACAAGGUGCCCACUGUUGCUCGACAACGAUUUAUUUCAGAUCAUUGUUUUCCUCUUGGUAAUUUACGGAAGAAAAGACUGCUCCUCAGUAAACAUCUGUUGUAACUGGAAUAAUGAAGAGAAUUAUAUUUCAUGAAAAUACACCUUAUCUUUAUUUUUUGUUUCUCUGUAGUUUUGUUGAACUUGGUGUUCCGGUAAGGUAUUGUAUACCACCUUAACUCUGGGUCUUGGUAUUGAAUGUUCCGACAUUUUCUUAAAGAUUCUUUUGUCUUGUGGUCCUUGAUUUCUCUGGCUAAAUAAAAUUAAUGAAAACUAUGUGAUACUGAA